AAGCGCACCCCAGCCCAAUUUCGGCCAUCAGUCUAGGAACGAGUCGUCGAGAGUACAGUUCACGUUCAGGGAGUGAGUAGUGCUGUGUCAUCAACCGACGUCCAGAUUUCCAGAACAGACGGGAGAAACCGAUCGCGUAACAAAUCGAUACAACUGCCAGCCCGUAAAAAAACCAGUCUCCUUGGAGGCCCGUCUGUCCAUGCCAGGGAUUUACACCACUUUGGUUUGUAAUGUAUCGUUUAUUUGUACAAAAUAGUAAUUAGAUAUUUAAUGUAAAUACCUAUUUGUGAUAUUAGUCUAUAUAAAUAAAUUAAAAAGAUUUAAUUUUUAUAUCGUAUUUUUCCUUAUGUUCCUGUUACUAAUUUUGUUUGAAUUUACAUGCGAGCAACACAUUCCAUCAUUAGAAAUGGUACGAGUACCAAAAGGUUUAUUAUACCCCCCUAAAGGUCGUGGCUGAUUACCUGAAUAGGUGAAUUCAAGGUGAUGUCCUCUCAUCCGCAUCCGCAUUUAAUGGUAGAAGCUGCCUGCAGAACGACACGGCUGGCGUCUGAACAGUUAGCCAACUGAGCGUGACUUGCCACCGCAAAAGGCCAGCACAUCCGCACGUCCCGUUAAACAUAACACAAACAUGUCACAAUGCGUUCCGACGCGACCCAAUCCUCCAUCUUCCCCGAAUGCGAAGUUGACGUGGUCAUAAGCGGCCACUUCUUCCAUGGAGAACGAUGGUAAUGUGUAUUUGUGCAUGAUGAGAUAUUUUCUCGGGUAUCAGCAGUAGUUCCUUGGCUCUUUUGGUUUUUUUAAUUUGUUGGUAUUCCUUGCGUAACCGUCGUGUUUUAGCAUUACCGAAAAGGGUGCGAACGUAGGAGGAAAGAUCAUGAGCAUAUUAAGGUACAUAAGUUAAAAGAUAAAUAAGUAAUUGACAAUUUUGUAAACUUGAAUCUUUCAUUAUUAAAACAAAUUAGAAUUAGAUGCGACAUGUGUCUAAAUUUGAUCAUCAAUCUACUUUCAUAUAUUGCUGACAUUCAAAACAAAUUCAGAUAUGUGCUUAUUAAAUAACAAUUAAAAAUUGUUAUGAUGAAUAAUAUCUUAUCCAGUUAUACUUUUAAACGCGUACAAAUACGGAUUGAAGCAUUUCAUACACAAAAAUGGAAGAAAUAGAAGCGUAUUAUUUUGGGUUUUCUAUUCCCUUUAUCUUUAGAAAAAUUGUUUUGUUCAGUUACAGUACGUCUGUAAACUUGGAUAGAAAACUUCUGAAUAAUUCGAAGCAGAGCCAAAGCAGUUAAGGUACACCUUUUGUAUUUCAUAACAAGUUUUUUGUUAUAAUGCAUAUUGCGGGUGCCAAACUGACACAAAGAUAGAAAAUUAUGAUAUAAUUUACUAAAAUUUAUUAAUAUUAACACGUGAAUCUAAGAAGAUUAACUUGGAAGAAUUAAUGUACUAAUUAUGAAUUUGCAUUGACAUUAAAAUAGAUGCAAGUAACAGGUAAUGUGACUUCUUAACAUGAUUUUCAUCAGGAAACAAUAUCAACCCUUUACCUCGACGAUUGAUGCGGUGAAAUACCAACAAAAUAUUCGAAGAACAAAAGUACGUGGAUAUUAUGAAAAGCAGUAAAUUAUAGAAAGUUCUCCAGUGGAUAAUCGUACUUUACGUAGUCCAAGUGGAGGGAACUAAGGUAACUAAAUAUGAGCAUAGGAACAGUUGUCUUGAGUUUCAGUAAGACCUUGCGAAGAAAUUUUCUGGACGUGCUUCGCGGACGACUUUCGAUCGAGUUGUACCUUGUAGAAAGAAUUAUUGAACUAAACUAACGGAAUAGUUGCCGGACAGGUAUACAUUUGGUGUAUAUGUUAACGUGAUUUUUAUUAGCAAACCAAUUUCGAUGCAUCUCGACUCUUCGAAUUUAUUAAGGGAGCGAACAUUCAUCUUUGAUGCCACACUAUUUGAAAAUCGAAUUUGAUAUGCGGACAAAUAUUGAGCCCUCGGACCUGUUACAUCAUCGCCUAUCAUUUCAUCCUUUGAAAACGAACGGAAUGGGUCCUCACCAGGUACAACUUUGGUACUUCUUAACGUGAUUGUUAUUAGGAUUUUCUUUGUGGACCAAUUUCCAUGCGACCAGAGUCAUCAGUCCUGCGAGAUGAUCGCGUUUCGAUCAAAAUAAACCCAAUAAUACGAAUCAACUUUGAUACUCGCCACCCAAAAGACAAAUUGAACGAUUACCAGUCAGGUAUACAUUUGGUAGUUCUUAACGUGAUUGUUAUUAGGACACCCUGAAAUGAUUUUACUGCCCAUUGAACGUUAAAAACUCGGACCAUUUUCCAUCAAAUUUAAGCCAUGUUCUGAAAACGGACGGGACACUCCACCAGGUAUAAAUUUGGUAUUUCCUAACGUGAUUGUUAUUAGGAUUCACUUUAUGGACCAAUUUCGUUGCGCCUUGAAACUUAAGAUAUAAUCGUUGACAAUUUCCGAUAGAGUCGCAUCUUGUAGAAAGGAGAUUGCGGCCAUCCAGGUAAAAAAUUGGUAUUUUUUAACGUGAUUGUUGCUAGGAUUUUAUUGAUGGACCAAUUAUGAUACACAAGAUGCAUCAAGCCUACGAUAUGAUCGCAGAUCAUUAUCCAUCCAGUUAAUACUUACAGAAGAAGUACGUCAAUCAUCUUUAGUUCCUGCACCUUUAGAAAUCAAAAGCAAUGGUUUCCAACCAGGUAGACGUUUGGUAUUUGUUAACGCGAUUGUUAUUAGGACUCCCUUUAUGAUGACACCCGAGACAACACCUGCAAUACGAUCGCCGAACAUUUUCCAUCGAGUUGAGACUUGUAGAAAAAGUACAGCGAUCAUCUUUAAUACUUGGACUUGGAAAACAAACUGAAAAGAUUACGGCAAGGUAGACAUUCGUAUUUCUUAACGUGAUUGUUGUUAGGAAUCCUUUGAUGGACGUAAAUUGAUGAUACCUGAGGCUAAUUGUACGACAUAAUCAUCAACCAUUUUCUAUCGAGUUCAGUUUUGUAUAAAAAUACAGUAUCAUCGUUAAACUUCAUCCUACUGUGAAUCAAACGGAAUAAAUUUCGACCAGGUAGACAUUUCGUAUUUUUUAACGUAAUUGUUAUUAGGAGUUAUUUAUGAGCCCCUGAGGCUUGAAUCUUAAAGAAGAAAUGCAUCGAUCAUCAUUAAUAACCAAGACCUUUUGAAAAUGAAAGGAACGGGCUCUCAGCAGGUAGACAUUCAGUAUUUCUUAACGUGAUUGUUAUUAGGAUAUCUUUAUGGACCCAUCACAAUGCAAGUGGAACAUUUUUAUGCAACCUGAAACUCAUUUUUGAUCGAGCAAAGUCUCGUAAAAAAUGAUACGUACCUUUUGUGAACAAACCGAAUACCUUCGAAACAGGUAGACAGACAUCGAUAUUUAUUAACCUGAUUGCUAUAGACCAAGAGCUUGAAUCUUUUCUAUCGAGCUGAAGCUUGUGGAAAUGAUUAUCUUCUGACAAAAUGAAUGUUACCAACCAGGUAAAUAUUCGAAUUGUUAAAUGUUGUUACUAGGACUUACCCGAUGUUUAUAAUCUACCAUUUUCAAUCGAGCUUAAUCUCGUAGAAAAUGCACCUUUAUCCAUCUUAAGAAAACCUAGGAAGCAGUUCCAAGCAAGUAUAAAUAUGAUAUUUCUUAACGUAAUGGUUACUAGGAUUCAUUUUGCGGGCCUAUUUCGGUGCCACGUAAGUCUUUAUGAACCAUUUUCAUAUUGUAAACGUACAACAGUCGUCUUGCACCUCUUGAAAACAAAUGGAAUGGGAACGAAGACCAGGUACACAUUUGGUUUUUCUUAACAUGAUUGUUAUUAGGAUGCACCUUGCGGAAUCAAUUGAACGCACCUUGAAACGUUGAACUAUUUUCAAAAAUAGCUAAACCAUGCCGAAAGGACUCUUAAUCUUCAGUCUUCAUUUUCUGAUAAAUCUCGAAACUUCCUACGAUCUUUUGAAAACGCUGCAGGUAAAUCAAAUGUGUACAAACACAUUAUUUUUAAAUUACAGUAGAGUGCUGUACACCUCAACUAAGGAUCCCCAUGGACAUAGUCCAGUUGUCUACAAAAACUAUUCUACGUUUCUCCUACAGAAGAUAGAAUGUAACAUUUUGGAAUAGUGAAGUUAUUAAGGAUAAAGAUACAUUUGGAUUUGAAUUUUCUAUAAUUUUAUUUUUAAUAGGAUUGAUUUUACUUGAGAAACUGAUACGUAAGACCCAUAUUCCAUUUUUAUUGGACAACCAUGUUUUUAAAUGAAGUUACUCAAUGAUGGUCCCAAUGAGAAAACCUUGGAAGGUAACUAAAAUGUAGAUAAAAAACUUUUUGUUACGUUUCAGUACACUACAAACCUUCCAAUCAAGAGUUGUUUUCCAUUAAUUGUAUUUUUCAUUCAUCUUAUGAAGUGGUCUUAAUUUUCCUGGUGGACAAAUAUUUGUUAAGUUGAAGUGUUUAUAAUAAUUAAAGGAUCAACAUAAGUACGACCCAUAAGUGAAACAUAGAUUUUCUCAUCAUUAUCUUUUCAGAACUAACAAGAUAGUUGGUCAUUAUCGUUUAAAUAGAAAUGUUCUACAAUCAAAAACUCGAUAGGGCAAAUUUCCAGGUAACUAAAAUAUGCACAGAACAACUUUUUGCUCAGUUUCAGUAAACUAAUUACCAAGGUUUAAAUCAACAUCAAGCAAGAAGUCUUCUAGUCAUCAUGAAUUUUGUUUUAUGUUAAAUAUGUGGACGUGGCAGUUCAGUUAAAAGUAAUUGUGAUAUGGUUAAAGUGCAUAAUGUGAACUUAGCCUCUGCUUCCAUUUUGAAAAUUGAAAGUGUUGUUAAGUGAUAGUAGUUAUAUCUUAACCACGUCCUAAGGUGUUAAGCAUCAUAUUUGAUUUUCAUCAUUAUCUUAUUAGGAUGCAUAGUGUCUUUGAACAGAAAUAACUACACUACAAGAUUUCAUUCAUUUUUGUUGAAAAAAAUCUUUGAAGAUUUUAAAUAAGCGAAGUUUGUUGAGACCAACUUGCAGGUAACUGAAUCCAUAUAGAACAACUUCUGUUAAGUUUUAGUUCCAUCCACAUGCUUACAUUUGUAUUCACCAGAAGACAACCCACACAUGAAGACCGAAUUCAGUUUUUUACUUCCAAUUAAUUGUGAAUUUGACUAAGGUGUAAUAUAUUCCCCAAUUUCUUGAGUGAAUCGUGCAAGUUAAAAGUUGAAAAAGUAAAUAAGUGAAGUAAUAUAAAAGGAUGAACUUUUUCAUGUGCAAUUUUUGUUAAUAUUAUUUUGUACCGGUGAAGUGAGCGAAAAUAUUGCGUCGCAAUUUAUUGGACAUGAAAACUACCAAACCAGAAGAAAAGUAUAAAUACAUGCAUAUUUGUUAUUUCCUAACACUAUUUUUAUUAGGAUGUUAAACGGGUCACUUCAAAUUUUGGUUUGAUUCAAAAUUGUUUUCUUUAUCUGGCCAAUGUAACUAAAAAUCAUCAAAUUGAAGAAUUCGACAUGUAUACGUCAAGAAUCCUCAUUUCUUCCAAUGUGCGAGAACUCCAGGUAAUUGAAAUAUGGAUACAGCAACCUUUUGUUGAGUUCCAGUUAGAAUGUUAGGCGGGCCACAGAUCUUGUACAAAAUUGAAAUCAUCUUUAUCUGGUCAAUACGAUUAAACAUCUAGAAUCAUCGUUCCUACCACUGACCCAAACCUUCAGGUAAUUAAAAUGGAUAUAGAACAACCUUUUGUUGGGUUCCAGUUUACUUCUUUUACGACAAUUCAAAUUAAGUGGUUGUACUGGAUGACAUUACUCUUCCAUUUGUGACUCUUAAAAUCAAUCCUCAAGUCUCCAGUCUGGAAGAAAGUAUUGCCUUGCUAUUUAUCGGACGGCAUAUGGGGAACUACCAAACAAAACUUAUGAAGACAAGUUUGAGAUGUAUAUGUAUUUGCUAUUUCCUAAAACUAUUUUUAUUAGGAUGUUAGUCGGACCACUUCAAUUUUUGGGGAAGAAACUAAUGCAAAAUUGAAAACAUCAAGAAUCAUCGUUCGGUCUACUUAAGCGACUACUCCAGGUAAUUAAAAUGGAUACAGAACAACCUUUUGUUGGGUUCCAGUUCGAUUCCACAUUAUCAACAGUACCAUUUGUGACAUUGACGAACUAUCGAGCCAACCCCUAGUCUCCGAAGUGGAAAAUAAUAUUGCGUUGCAUUUUACUGAACUUUCAUGAUGGGAAUUAUCUAAAAGAACUCGUGAAGACAAGUUAAGAUACAUAUAUAUUUCCUAUUUCUUAUAAUUAUUUUUGUUAGGGUGCUAAACGGGUCGGUUCAGAUUUUGAUUGAGAAUUCUUCGCAAAAUUGAAAACAUCUCUGUCUGGUCCAUAUAACUAAACAUCAAAAGUGAUCAUUCCUUACAACGAGCGGGAAUUGAAGGGCCGCUUCAGUUUUUGGUGAAGAAACAUGCAAAAUUGAAAACAUUUUCAUCUGUGUGUGUGACUAAGCAUCAAGAACAAUCAUUCCUUC